rnacentral:lncRNA from 1 species
CAAGCAACCACUGAUAAACACUUCAUUCACUCUUGCUCCAUUUGCGAAGAAGGAGCGUUUUUACUUUAGGCCCCAAAGCAUCCCAUGACUUUCUUGGGAGAGUUGCCGGUGGCGCGGUACUUGGCGGCCAUCUCCUCGGCCUUGAGGAGUUCCUCCCCUUUCUUUGCCUCGACCAUCGCUCUCUUCUCUUCGGCUUCCUUGUGGAUCAUUGCGGCCUUAUUCUUCAUCUUCUCGGCGUAUUCAGCCUUCUUCUUUUCCAAUUGCUCCUGAAAGUGUACAGUCACAAGAUUUAGUUUGCAGGAUGGCAUAUGAAGAGAGUGCCAUGUUCAGAACUGCAGAUGGAUAUCGACGGCAAGAACAGGCCUUACUCUUUGAUGUAAUAUACGGCCUUACUCUUUGAUGUAAUAUACAAAGAAUGGUAACGAUGAAAGUACCUCGAUCUUCUUCAGUUGAGCUUCUAUGUUUGCUUUUUUGGUGUUCUCCCAUGAGAGAAUAGCAGAUACCUUUUUAGUAGCCCUGUGAUAUUGAUGUGAAUCAAGAUCAGGAAAAUUUACAUCAUCUAUUUAAUGAACGUGUUCAAGAACGUAAUUUAGCUAUAAGUAUACAACUUCUUCAUUUUCUUCAAAAUGACAUAGCUUCUUUCAUGAUAUCUGUUGGUAGUUGUGCUGUAGGUGUUCUUAUCAUUGUUUGAAUUAGACGGGGUUGACAUAUGCUCCAUAUCUUGGGAGUAAGACUAGACAUAUUACUAACAUGAAGCUUUAUAUGGGCUCUGUUUCCUAGUUGAAACCAUUAAAGUGGCUGAAGCGCACCUUUGAGAUAUGUAACAUGCAUAUCCAAUCUAACAGAGUAGUGAUAAAUCUACCAUACCAUUGAAAAAGCAUGAAUGGAUAAAUAUAAAUAGUAACAUACUUGUUCUCAGCCUUUGUCUUCUCAUUUUCCUCCCAUGCUUUAAUUAAAGAGUUCCUCUUCUCGCUUUCCACCCUUGCAAGAGCGAGGUCUGCAUAGCAGGUUUUCAGGUAGUUUGUCAGCAUAGGUGUACUCUAUUAUAAGAAGAGAAUUCAAAUUAUUCAAUAAUUACCUCUGUCGUUUGAGCCGCCGUGUGCAGCUUUCUCAUCUGUGAGUUUCUCAGCAACAGGUUCAUCUGCAACCUCUGGUACGCAGAAAAAUGUAGAAGUAUCUUAUGAGCAAGAGUUGUAACGUCACAAUUUGAUAUGAGAGUAAUUAAGCAGCAAGAAGCUAGCAUCUGUCUGUACAAUGUCAAAUGAUUUUUAGUACCCACUCGUGUCGCGAGCAUUAUAUAAUCCGUGGAAUUGAAGUUAACUUCUAGCGUGUCCUUUGGUACUAAGAUCUUAUAUAAUGGUGACUUGUGUAGGACUUAUCUUAUUCUCUGAACUUCUCCAACCACAGACGCAAACGGAGUAAGAUAGAAAGCUACUUACAGUCCUUCUGGAUAAAGGAAUGGCUAAACAACGACAUCAUACACCGAACUUUCAGAACCCAAUGCACAGUUUUAUUAAUAUCCUUGACUCACACUCCAGCAUGGUCAUAAUUCUGAGGACUACUAGGUGCCCAUUUUUAUGAUUAAAAGCUUGUUGCUAAUUGGCCCUGCAGUUUCUUCCAACGUUGCUAUUUAUUCGCAUAGUGUUUGGUUUUCUCGUGGGAAGGGGAGCACGCUGUCAUUGAGUGCCAAACCAGAGGAGAAGUAUCAUAGACAGGAUUUCGUUCCGAUACCACAUACUUACUUCAUGUUUAUAUCCACUUCAAAACAGUAAUACGGUCAUACGGUCACCAGGAAAACUGAACAAUCUUUCCAACUAUGCAAGACUCUGAACUACUGAACAUUUAUAGCAUAGUAGUAUAUCUAUCAUCCAUGAUGACUUAGAGCAGCAACAGAAAGCAACUGCCUGCCUGUCCAAAACUACAAUAUGCCAUUCUUAAAUACAAUAGCUUUAUUCCUUUCAAAAGAAGAUAUGACAGUUAGUGAGUGCGCGUGUACUGGUUUUAUCUGUUAAUGAGUGCGCGUGUACUGGUUUUAUCUGUUCUAUAAACCCAAACACUAACUACUACUACAACACUAUCUGCAUGGUUGAAGAAAUAUGCAAAUGCAAUGAACAUGCAGACACAAGUCACAUAGCUCGGGAAAGGUUGUUCUUCAUGUGGCUUUUGCUUCCGUUUGGUUCCUUUUCCCCCAGCAUAGUACCAUCUUGGACACUUUCUAGGGUGUUAAAGUGAAACUGAGAUUCCUCCAAAAAAGGAAACUGGGAUGGAUAAGACAGAGAGGGAGCGAAGAACGGAGAGCAGGGGCAGAAAGAAGACAAAUGGAUAAGGAUGAGUGAGGAAUUCAGUGAAGUUCUAACGACUAUCUUUUCUAAAUUCCAACCCAGAACAAUUGUGCAACCUAUUUUCAGUGAGGCUACACACGGCCAGCAUCACCUUAGCUAUAUCUAUGUUGUCCUAAGAUGCUCUCUGUUUUUGUUUCGUCCAAAACUCUGCAACACUUCCGGUUCACUAGAAACAAACUAAUUUGCAACCAUGGUUGCAUCCGCUGUUUUUUUGUUCAUAACAAAAUCAUUUAGUACUACCUCCAUCUUAAAAUAAGUGUACAAAUUUGUACCAGAGCUAGUAUAAAGUUGCGACGGGCAGAGGGAGUAGAAAGCAGGGAAAAUAUUCAGACAAACAUUUGAGAUAUUUAUCAGAGCUGUUUGCGGCACCAACCAAGUGCUAAUAUAUUUCGCAAGCAGACAAUUCAGGAAAAAGAACACAUAAGCGGAAGUGUCUCAAUUCUCAAAGCAGCCAAAGCACAAACCAAAUAACAAUUGCAACUAACGCUGGCUAGUAAUCCCUAUGAACACGUAACUGAAAUUACCGAAUUAAUCGUACUCUAGGUGUAACAACGAGAGCCAAGAAAAAUAAGGAGAGGAAGGGAAAGAGAAAAAGGUCUCCAAAUAAUAUCGCAGGAUCAUCGGUACCUCAACCAAGUACUACCACCACUGUUCAUCUCCUGUUAACACCGAGGAAAAGUUGCUCGCUCCUACUACUCGUACUACCAGAUCCUAGCGCGCCCACCCCCUUCCCAUCGUUCAAGUUCAACCACAGGCCGGCCUUGCCGAAGCAAGAGCAAAUUAACUGAAGCAGCAGCAGCAGCAAAACAGCGCAGAGCAAGCGGCAGGGUGACUUACUCUCGACGACGACGAGGGCCUUGGAGUCGUCGACGGGCGGCUUCUCCUCGUCGGCGGCGGGNNNNNNNNNNNNNNNNNNNNNNNNNNNNNNNNNNNNNNNNNNNNNNNNNNNNNNNNNNNNNNNNNNNNNNNNNNNNNNNNNNNNNNNNNNNNNNNNNNNNNNNNNNNNNNNNNNNNNNNNNNNNNNNNNNNNNNNNNNNNNNNNNNNNNNNNNNNNNNNNNNNNNNNNNNNNNNNNNNNNNNNNNNNNNNNNNNNNNNNNNNNNNNNNNNNNNNNNNNNNNNNNNNNNNNNNNNNNNNNNNNNNNNNNNNNNNNNNNNNNNNNNNNNNNNNNNNNNNNNNNNNNNNNNNNNNNNNNNNNNNNNNNNNNNNNNNNNNNNNNNNNNNNNNNNNNNNNNNNNNNNNNNNNNNNNNNNNNNNNNNNNNNNNNNNNNNNNNNNNNNNNNNNNNNNNNNNNNNNNNNNNNNNNNNNNNNNNNNNNNNNNNNNNNNNNNNNNNNNNNNNNNNNNNNNNNNNNNNNNNNNNNNNNNNNNNNNNNNNNNNNNNNNNNNNNNNNNNNNNNNNNNNNNNNNNNNNNNNNNNNNNNNNNNNNNNNNNNNNNNNNNNNNNNNNNNNNNNNNNNNNNNNNNNNNNNNNNNNNNNNNNNNNNNNNNNNNNNNNNNNNNNNNNNNNNNNNNNNNNNNNNNNNNNNNNNNNNNNNNNNNNNNNNNNNNNNNNNNNNNNNNNNNNNNNNNNNNNNNNNNNNNNNNNNNNNNNNNNNNNNNNNNNNNNNNNNNNNNNNNNNNNNNNNNNNNNNNNNNNNNNNNNNNNNNNNNNNNNNNNNNNNNNNNNNNNNNNNNNNNNNNNNNNNNNNNNNNNNNNNNNNNNNNNNNNNNNNNNNNCGCUGCGCCUGUGGCCUCCACGUAGACGCUGCGCGUGGCGGCGCACGUGAUAACACCGGGCGGCGUCAAGGCGGACGGUGACAUGGGUGAGGAGUGCGAGGGCGGGGGAGGAUCAAUAAAAACUUACAAAAGUUUACUUAACCUUUUAAACUAACUCUUCUCUCCUUCCAUGAUUUUCAGUAAGGGUGGGGCCCCUCAUCCCUCAAUAACCAUCACAAUCUUACACAUCAGUUUGUACGUAAAAUCUUUAAGUAAGCCUUUGUAGGUGUAGCAUUACUCAGCGGGGAGGAUACGGGUGCCGGUUUCUUUCUUCCGUUCCCAACUUUUUCCUAAACAAUUCUUGAAUAAACAGAUACGUAUUUUCGGCGAUGGAAUUAAAGGCGCGCGCUGGCUCGCCGACUAGACAAUUGGGCUGGUGUUGGGCGAUCCGCGGAGCUUGAUUUUCCCCAGCUGUCAUCGCCUUGACGCGCCCGUCCCGCUGCCGGCUGGGCGUGUGACGGCAAGGACCGACCAGACCUGACCGUUAUACGCCCGUUUCCCGCGGAACUUGGGCGCGCGCGGGUGCAUGUGGCCGUAUCCGUAUGCAGCCGGCGGUCGACAGGUGUACUCGUACUACAUGACCAGUUCUUGGGCGGUGGCCGACGUAUCGGGGUAAUCCGUGGUUUGGUCCUCGCGCUAGCUCUGGACUUGGAUCUCACUGGAUCCUCGUAUUCUGUAUUCUGAAUCCGGGCACCAGUCAGUGGGAGUACAUUUGUCGGUGUAUAUGCAUGUGUGGGCCACACCAUACGUGCAUGAUGCGGUACAAUAUACGUCGAGCAUGUAGGAUGUAGCCAAGCUUCGACACUCAUUUCCCAAGCAGAUUUUGUUCGUUGCUAGUAUGUCCCAAGUUCUAGCUGGCGCUUAUAUCUUGCCGCCCAAAAACCUCCGUCGUCCUACAAAAGAAAACCACAAGAAUUCCAAGUUGACAAACCGUUUGCACAAAGCCAUGAAGCUGGAUGCUGCAGCAACCUAACUAAGCCAAAGCAUCUUAACAGCUGACCAGCUAAUUGUUGAAUAUAAGGAAGCUAGCUAGCUUGCGCAACUGUCCAAAGCAUAGCAUUGGACAAUCGUUCAGCAUCCAAAUGGACAUGAACAGAAGAUGCUUUGCUGGCGAGGACAGGUAGCCACAGCUACCAUGCCACACUCAAAUUAUUGGCAACGGCCAGGUGCUAAGCAGGGUUAUACGCGUUACAAACAAUUGGAUCUUGCUUGGACGCUCCUCGUUACGUCGUCGCUACGUACGCACGGAAUUUGGAGUACAACACACAUCAGAUCCUACUUUUUAGCUACCGAGACAUCCUGCUGUAUCAUUUGCACAUCGUUCAAUCUCACCGGUAACUGGGCGUGCAAGAACAGACAUAUAGAAAUAAGGUAUGACAUUCUGACGGGUAAGCCGAGCAUCUCAAACCCGCUCCAAACAUUCACACAUACGGUUUGAUCAUUGACUGGUCACAAAAAUAUGAUUCACGUGAACGCCUCAAACACCCGGGCUGAUCAACCAAAUCAAAGACGGAUAAGGAAGGCGUCCGGAUGCGUCCGCCCUAGAGGCCUACCCCAUCAUAAAUUGCAUCAAAUCUACCCCAUCCAUCCAUUUGCUAUCUUCUGUUGCUCCUCCCCAACGUAUCUCACCUGCUCCGCCGUUGCGGAGCAUGUGCGCCGACAACAUCGACACAACACUCCUCUAUUCAAUCCUCACAGCCCACGACGUCGUUGCCGGCCCGGACACCACUGUGGUACGCCCGACAAUUCUCGAGCUGGCCCUUGCGAUACAUUGUCCAGCCCGUUUCUUGCGAUUUUUAGGAAAAACAAUGAAUUCUGAUGCUUCGUUGGACGAGGAGUAUGGACUGACAUAGUUCGAUCAAAUGAUUGAAGAUGAGUUCUUCGAUUCGUUGAAUUCACACGAAGAACUGGACAUGAUCAUGCUCAUGAACAUGUAAGAGUAAAUGGACCGGCAGAGCAUAUUCCUAAUUUCAAGGGCUCAAUCAAAAAAAGAAGAAUGAUCAAUCGGGAUAGGGUCUGCGGCGCACGGCUACUAUAGAAGGACUACUUUGCUCCAUACCUAACUUUUUUGGAUCAUCACUGGUUUCGUCGCCGUUUUUUGCAUGCAAAAAACCAUUGUUUUUCCGCAUUAUGGGGGGAUUAAAGGCUUACGAUGACUACCACUAGUAGAAAAAGGCACAUUUGUCCCGGUUCCAUAGGCUCAUUAGCCCCGGUUCCGGAACCGGGACUAAAGUGUCGGGACUAAAGCCCAAAACCUUUAGUCCCGGUUCGCUUACCAACCGGGACCGAAGGGUCUCCACGUGUCCGCUGCGGGGAGCCCGAGCAGGAGGGCCGUUAGUCCCGGUUGGUCAUACUAACCGGGACAACAUGGCAUCCACGCGUCAGCAUCUGGCCGGAGCUGGGGGUUUUGUUUUUUCUGAAUGGGGGUGGGGGUGGAGGGUUAAUUUAGUGGUUUUUUAUUGUGUUAGCUAGCUACUAGAGAGAAGUGUCCUCUCUUUCUCCGUGCUUGGUCGACGCUAGCUACUAUACAUAUAGAGAGAACAUGACGCUAGCUAAUAAGAAAAUGAAGGAAACCAUUUACAAUCCCUAACAUCUUUUACAAUGCCUAACAUCAUCUACCUAAGAUUCAAUCACAAAUAGCUCACAUGGUAUUCUCCGUAUGACGUGGUCAAGAAAGAAUCCCGCCAAUUCCUCUUGGAUUGCUCGUAUGCCAUCAUCUGAUAGGGGUUCAUCCCGCUUCUUUCAGAUCUAAUUUAAAGAAGGGGGUCAAUACAUGCAUAUAUAUAUGAAUAAAACUCAACACAAUUGAUGGUAAUAUAUAAAAUAAAAUUGUGAAUAUUAUUUACGUACUUCAAAUUGUUUGUCAGAGAUGCCUCGCCCAGAGGUUGAGAGGCGAAUGAACUCGCAUACGUAGUAUGCACAUUUUUCAGUUCCAGCUACCUGGUACAAGCACUUUAUGAGAAUAGAGUUCAAUCAAACUGAUAAGCAAGCAUGGUAAUGAUAUAUUGAUGAAAAUUUGAAUCAAUUAGAGAUGCACGGAACUAGAUAGUACUACUUACCGGGGGGGGGUGCGUAAAUUGCAACUCUUUGUUUAGACCGGGAGACUUUGAGGUGAACUUCUUCCAAACCUUGCCAGACAAGGAAAAUGAUUACUUGAUAUCAGGAAAUUAAUGAAAGUUGCAUGCCGGUAUGGUCCUGGUAUUGACUGAACUUACUUCUUGAGCAUUGCAGUCAUGUCCGCAUAAUCCUCGGGAUCUUUACGUCUCGAGUCUAAGACAAUUACUUUUACCCCGUCAAGCUUAAUGGAUAGCAGAAUAAAGUGGUAACUGCGCACGCAUAUAUAACUCAUCAAUUACAUUUACUUAACCUCGAGUAAGCGAAACGAGUAUACAGAGAAUACAGCAACACUCACUUGAAGUUGUAAGGAAAGAGUAUUUCCCUUUUGUUUUGAAUUGCAAGCAAAGAGUUUAGCAAGCUAACCUCGGUCUCUUUGGUUUCAUUUCGUACCGACAAUACAUUUACGGCUUCUGGGCUAAUGAACCCAACGUCGAAGAUUCCUGCUUUUUUUAAUUCGACGAUCUUGAAGCUGCAUAAUAUAUAUAGUAAGGAUAAUUAUAUAUACAUGAAAUGAACGAGAUGAGCUAGAGACUUAAUUAUAGAAGUAAUACUUACAAACAGUAGGAAGUCAUGAAUUGUUUGUCGAGGCCAGUUGAUUGUAUAACUGAAAUAACUCCUCAAAUUGAACAAGCAGCACUGAAGUUCCAAUGAAAUCGUGAUCUUUUUUCACUCUCAUAUAGAUAGCGUCUUUCCCAGUCUCCCUGAAGAUGUUCAUGUACCACUCAUGCAAUUCGUGCAUCCUCGGUGUUAGAGGAGGAUGAUCAGGUUUGACCAGAGGCUUCCCGAGCACGUAUUCAUAUGUUUGUUUAUUUGCUACCUCAGCUAUAUAAAAAAUUACUGAAUGCUUCAUGUAAUCACCAGGAUUGGUACCGGGCAGCUGUUGGGGAACGUCGCAUGGGAAACAAAAAUUUUCCUACGCACACGAAGACCUAUCAUGGUGAUGUCCAUCGACGAGAGGGGAUAUGUGAUCUACGUACCCUUGUAGACCGUACAGCAGAAGCGUUAGUGAACGCGGUUGAUGUAGUGGAACGUCCUCAUGUCCCUCGAUCCGCCCCGUGAACCGUCCUGCGAUCAGUCCCACGAUCUAGUGCCGAACGGACGACACCUCCGCGUUCAGCACACGUACAGCUCGACGAAGAUCUCGGCCUUCUUGAUCCAGCAAGAGAGACGGAGAGGUAGAAGAGUUCUCCGGCAGCAUGACGGCGCUCCGGAGGUUGGUGGUGAUCUUAUCUCAGCAGGGCUCCGCCCGAGCUCCGCAGAAACGCGAUCUAGAGGAAAAACCGUGGAGGUAUGUGGUCGGGCUGCCGUGGAAAAGUCGUCUCAAAUCAGCCCUAAAACCUCCGUAUAUAUAGGGGGAAGAGGGGGAGCCUUGCCUUGGGGCUCAAGGACCCCCAAGGGGGUCGGCCGAGCCAAGGGGGAAAGGUCUCCCCUCCCAAACCGAAUCCAACUUGGUUUGGAAGGUGGAGUCCUUCUUCCCUUUCCCACCUCCUCCUGUUUUUUCUUUUCUCUUUGAUUUUCUUCCUAUGGCGCAUAGGGCCUUCUUGGGCUGUCCCACCAGCCCACUAAGGGCUGGUGCGCCACCCCCAAGGCCUAUGGGCUUCCCCGAGGUGGGUUGCCCCCCCGGUGAACACCCGGAACCCAUUCGUCAUUCCCGGUACAUUCCCGAUAACUCCGAAAACCUUCCGGUAAUAAAAUGAGGUCAUCCUAUAUAUCAAUCUUCGUUUCCGGACCAUUCCGGAAACCCUCAUGACGUCCGUGAUCUCAUCCGGGACUCCGAACAACAUUCGGCAACCAACCAUAUAACUCAAAUACGCAUAUAACAACGUCAAACCUUAAGUGUGCAGACCCUGCGGGUUAGAGAACUAUGUAGACAUGACCCGAGCGACUCCUCGGUCAAUAUCCAAUAGCGGGACCUGGAUGCCCAUAUUGGAUCCUCUCCCUAUAGNNNNNNNNNNNNNNNNNNNNNNNNNNNNNNNNNNNNNNNNNNNNNNNNNNNNNNNNNNNNNNNNNNNNNNNNNNNNNNNNNNNNNNNNNNNNNNNNNNNNACUGCAUUCACUUUAAAUAGGGCACCAUCAAAAUCCGUUGAGACGACACCAUACGAACUGUGGUAUGGCAAAAGGCCAAAGUUAUCGUUUCUUAAAAGUUUGGGGAUGUGAUGCUUAUGUCAAAAAGCUUCAGCCUGAAAAGCUGGAACCCAAAGCGGAAAAGUGCGUCUUCAUAGGUUACCCAAAAGAGACAGUUGGGUACACCUUCUAUCUCAAAUCCGAGGGCAAAGUGUUUGUUGCUAAAAACGGAGCUUUUCUCGAGAAGGAGUUUCUCUCGAGAGAAUUGAGUGGGAGGAAGAUAGAACUUGACGAGGUUGUCAAACCUCUCAUCCCUCUGGAUGGUGGCGNCAGGGCAAGGGGAAACCUCUGUCGUUGCGACACCGGUUGAGGAGGAAGUUAAUGAUGAUGAUCAUGAAACUCCAGUUCAAGUUUCUGUCGAACCACGCAGGUCGACGAGACCACGUGCUGCUCCAGAGUGGUACGGUAAUCCCGUCUUAUCAAUCAUGUUGUUAGACAACAAUGAAGCUGCAAAUUAUGAAGAAGCAAUGGUGGGCCCAGAUUCCAACAAAUGGCUAGAAGCCAUGAAGUCCGAGAUAGGAUCCAUGUAUGAGAACAAAGUGUGGACUUUGGAGGGACUACCUGAGGGCAGCAAGGCUAUUCAGAACAAAUGGAUCUUUAAGAGGAAGACGGCCGCUGACGCCAAUGUGACCGUUUAUAAAGCUCGACUUGUGGCAAAGGGUUUUUCACAAGUUCAAGGAGUUGACUACGAUGAGACAUUCUCACCCGUAGCGAUGCUUAAGUCCGUCAGAAUCAUGUUAGCAAUAGCUGCAUUUUUCGAUUAUGAAAUCUCGCAGAUGGAUGUCAAAACGGCAUUCCUUAACGGUUUCCUUAAGGAAGAGUUGUAUAUGAUACAACCCGAANNNNNNNNNNNNNNNNNNNNNNNNNNNNNNNNNNNNNNNNNNNNNNNNNNNNNNNNNNNNNNNNNNNNNNNNNNNNNNNNNNNNNNNNNNNNNNNNNNNNAUGAUCUCCAUCAACGUGUUGCCAUCGGGGUUGUCGUGCUACUCAUGCUAUUACUACUAAAGCUACAUCCUAGCAAAAUAGUAAACGCAUCUGCAAGCACAAACGUUAGUAUAAAGACAACCCUAUGGCUCAUGCCGGUUGCCGUACCAUCGACGUGCAAGUCGAUAUUUACUAUUACAACAUGAUCAUCUCAUACAUCCAAUAUAUCACAUCACAUCGUUGGCCAUAUCACAUCACAAUCAUACCCUCAAAAAACAAGUUAGACGUCCUCUAAUUUUGUUGUUGCAUGUUUUACGUGGUGACCAUGGGUAUCUAGUAGGAUCGCAUCUUACUUACGCAAACACCACAACGGAGAUAUAUGAGUUGCUAUUUAACCUCAUCCAAGGACCUCCUCGGUCAAAUCCGAUUCAACUAAAGUUGGAGAAACCGAAACUUGCCAGUCCUCUUUGAGCAACGGUGUUACUCGUAGCGAUGAAACCAGUCUAUCGUAAGCAUACGAGUAAUGUCGGUCCAAGCCGCUUCAAUCCAACAAUACCGCAGAAUCAAGAAAAGACUAAGGAGGGCAGCAAAACGCACAUCACCGCCCACAAAAACUUUUGUGUUCUACUCGAGAAGACAUCUACGCAUGAACCUAGCUCAUGAUGCCACUGUUGGGGAACGUCGCAGGGGGGGGGGGGGGGUUCCUACGCGCACGAAGACCUAUCAUGGUGAUGUCCAUCUACGAGAGGGGAUGAGUGAUCUACGUACCCUUGUAGAUCGUACAGCAGAAGCGUUAGUGAACACGGUUGAUGUAGUGGAACGUCCUCACAUCCCUCGAUCCGCCCCGCGAACAAUCCCGCGAUCAGUCCCACGAUCUAGUACCGAACGGACGACACCUCCGCGUUCAGCACACGUACAGCUCGACGAUGAUCUCGGCCUUCUUGAUCCAGCAAGAGAGACGGAGAGGUAGAAGAGUUCUCCGGCAGCGUGACGGCGCUCCGGAGGUUGGUGAUGACCUUGUCUCAGCAGGGCUUCGCCCGAGCUCCGCAGAAACGCGAUCUAGAGGAAAAACCGUGGAGGUAUGUGGUCGGGCUGCCGUGGAAAAGUCGUCUCAAAUCAGCCCUAAAACCUCCGUAUAUAUAGGUGGGAGGGAGGGGACCUUGCCUUGGGGCUCAAGGAGCCCCAAGGGGGUCGGACGAGUCCAAAGGGGAAGGCUCCCCCCCAGACCGAGUUGGACUUGGUUUGGUGGGUGGGAGUCCUUCCUUCCCUUCCCACCUCCCUUUUUUUCUUUUCUCUUUGAUUUUCUUUCCUAGGCGCAUAGGGCCCUUUUGGGCUGUCCCACCAGCCCACUAAGGGCUGGUGUGCCACUCUCAAGGCCUAUGGGCUUCCCCGGGGUGGGUUGCCCCCCCGGUGAACUCCCGGAACCCAUUCGUCAUUCCCGGUACAUUCCCGGUAACUCCGAAAACCUUCCGGUAAUCAAAUGAGGUCAUCCUAUAUAUCAAUCUUCGUUUCUGGACCAUUCCGGAAACCCUCGUGACGUCUGUGAUCUCAUCCGGGACUCCGGACAACAUUCGGUAACCAACCAUAUAACUCAAAUACACAUAAAACAACGUCGAACCUUAAGUGUGCAGACCCUGCGGGUUCGAGAAUUAUGUAGACAUGACCCGAGAGACUCCUCGGUCAAUAUCCAAUAGCGGGACCUGGAUGCCCAUAUUGGAUCCUACAUAUUCUACGAAGAUCUUAUCNGUUUGAACCUCAGUGCCAAGGAUUCGUAUAAUCCCGUAUGUCAUUCCCUUUGUCCUUCGGUAUGUUACUUGCCCGAGAUUCGAUCGUCAGUAUCCGCAUACCUAUUUCAAUCUCGUUUACCGGCAAGUCUCUUUACUCGUUCCGUAAUACAACAUCCCGCAACUUACACUAAGUUACAUUGCUUGCAAGGCUUGUGUGUGAUGUUGUAUUACCGAGUGGGCCCNNNNNNNNNNNNNNNNNNNNNNNNNNNNNNNNNNNNNNNNNNNNNNNNNNNNNNNNNNNNNNNNNNNNNNNNNNNNNNNNNNNNNNNNNNNNNNNNNNNNCCGACGUUUUUCGACCCGUCUAACCCUACUUCAACUUUUUAGCACAUGCUAUGUGGGUGAAAUGAUGAUACCAUGCCAACUUUCAACAUUUUUUAGAGUUCAUUUGUAGUGCUUUUCAAUUUAAGGGUCAUUUAGCUCAAAAAAUCAGUAAAUGCAUGAAAAAUACCAAAUGAAGUCAGAAAUAGUUGAAAAUUGAUGAUGUGGCUUUGAAUGGUGCAUUUUGAACACACAAAAAAGUCUUGAGUUCAAAUAAGUUCAAAAAAAAUGAAAUCCCUUUGUAACACAUGAGUUUUCGUAUGAAACCCUCAUACUUCGAAAGAGAUUGUCCGUUUUGUACACGAAGUGCAUCCAGCUUUUGUCGCAACCCUCUCAACUUUUUAGCACAUGCUAUGUGGGUGAAAUGAUGAUACCAUGCCAACUUUCAACAUUUCCACAGUUCAUUUGUAGUGUUUUCAAUUUAAGGGUCAUUUAGCUCAAAAAAAUGAGUAAAUGCAUGAAAAAUACCAAAUGAAGUGUUUUUGAAUUUUGUGACCUGAAAGCAAAAAGAAUCACUGAAAAAUAGUAAGGAGGAACAAAAUAAAAUAAAUAAAGUAAAAAACAAAAAAAUAGCUUUUUUUAAAUGCCACCUACUGGGCGACCGCGGCGUGAAUACGACUAGAAACCCAACCAGCCUAUUGGGCCAGGAUUCAGGCCCGGAGUAGGCCCAAUAGGCCCUGAAGCAGUGACCCAUUAGGCCCGGAGUAGGCCCAAUAGGCCUAGAGUCAGUGACCCAUUAGGCCCGGAAGCCUGCAAUUGAAAGGAGCUCGAGAGGUUGUGCGCAGCUGCGCUUAUAAACCACUCGCUACCUCUCUCGGCUAGCGAUGUGGGACUAAACUUUUAGCCUCGGGCAGCACCACACUUUGGUCCUAGCUGGUGGCUCCAACCGGCACCAAUACGGACCUUUUGUCCCGGUUGGAGUCACUAAUCCGUACUAAAGGUCUCUUCUUCCCGCCCUUUUGGGCCAACGAAAUUGACCUUUAGUCCCGGUUGGUGUACCAAACCGGGACUAAAGUGUUGCUAUGGUUCCGGUUUGAGCCACCAACCGGAAACAAAGGUAUUCAUAUAUUGCGGGAGUUGUCAAAAUUUCCACCAACUUCCAUUUCCUCCCCGUUCUCUCUUCGUCGUCGCCGUCGCCGCCGUCCCGCGCCUCCUCCACGAGCCCGACGUCGUCCUCGCCGUCGCUCCUGAGCCCGUCGUCGCCCCGAGCCCAUCGCCGUUGUCGUCGCUCCCGAGCCCAUCGUCGCCCCGAGCCCGUCGCGCCCCGUCGUCCCCGAGCCCGUCGCGCGCCGUCAUCCCCGAGCCCAUCMAUCGCCCAGAGCCCAUCGCGCUCCAUCGUCCCCGAGCCCAUCGUCGUCGCCGUCGCCGUCGCUCCUGAGCCCAUCGUCGUCGUCCGUUGUCGCCCGUCGUCGCCGUCACCGUCGUCGCCGUAGCCCCCGAUCCCAUCGCCGCUGUCAUCGUCGCCCGUCGCCCGGCGUUGUUCCGAAGCCCGCCGUCGUCGCCCGUCGACGCGCCGGUAGCACGUCCAUCUCCAUCGCCAUAUCCCUAUUUGUGAAUCCAUGUGUGAGGAGACGUAGUCUAAUUGCGAAUCCAUGUGUGUAUUUCAGUCUUAUUAGAAUAUGUUGGGUACAUUUUUGAACUCCCCAAUGUGACACAAGUUAUAAAAAUUAUAAAAAUAUUUAGAUUAGAUUAAGUUACAAUAGCAGAUAAAGUUAUAAAAAUUAUAAAAAUAUUUAGAUUAGAUUAAGUUUUUAUGUUAAUAUUUGGGAUUAUGUAUAAAAGUUAGUUUUUACCUUAUUUUUAUUUUAGUUUUAAUAAAAAGUAUUUUACCGAAAAAGGGCUUCCCCCACUUUGUAAUAUUUGUAUAAACAAUGGAUAUUCCAAGAGACAUGGACCAAGAUGAAAUUUUGGGGGAUAUAAUCCACGACGACGGUAAUGUCGAUUUCUUUCUCAACAACAUCGAUGGUCUGGAAGGAGAGGAUUACGGCUCCGGUGAUCGAACAAUGGAGGAGGAAGGACAUUAUCAUGAUGGCUUAGGUGGCUACCGAAUCCCGGAGGAAGGGGAUCAUGAUGACAGCUCCGGUGACUGAUAUGUCUCCGUCGUAUCUAUAAUUUUUGAUUGUUUCAUGCCAAUAUUCUACAACUUUCAUAUACUUUUAGCAACUUUCUAUACUAUUUUUGGGACUAACAUAUUGAUCCAGUGCCCAGUGCCAGUUCCUGUUUGUUGCAUGUUUUUUGUUUCGCAGAAUACCCAUACCAAACGAAGUCCAAACGCAAUAAAAAAACCUAUGGGGAUUUUUUUGGAAUAUUUAUGAUUUUUGGGAAGAGGAAUCAACGCGAAACGAUGCCCGACGGGGUCACGAGCCCAGGAGGCGCGCUCUACCCCCCAGGCUCGCCUGGCAGGCUCGUGACCAACCCCUAAGGCGGUUGGGGCCCUUCUUUUGCCGCAAGAAAGCUAAUAUCCGGAAGAAAAUCGUGUUAAAAGGACACCUCAAUCGGAGUUACGGAUCUCCAGGAAUUUAAGAAACGGUGAAAGGACAGAAUCUGGGAGCGCAAAAACAAAAGGACACAGAGAGAGAGAGAUCCAAUCUCGGAGCGGCUCUCGCCCCUCCGCCGCCAUGGAGAUCAUGGACUAGAGGGGAAACCCUUCUCCCAUCUAGGGAGGAGGUCAAGGAAGAAGAAGAAGAAGGGGGGCUCUCUCUCCCGGCGACGCCGGAACACCGCCCGAGACAUCAUCGUGUGACGGCGAUCUACACCAACACCUCCGUCAUCUUCACCAACACAUCCAUCACAUUCCCCCAUCUAUAUUCAGCGGUCCACUCUCCCACAACCCGCUGUACCCUCUACUUGAACAUGGUGCUUUAUGCUUCAUAUUAUUAUCCAAUGAUGUGUUGCCAUCCGAUGAUGUUUGAGUAGAUUUUCGUUGUCCUAUCGGUGAUUGAUGAAUUGCUAUGAUUGGUUUAAUUUGCUUGUGGUUAUGUUGCUUUCUUUGGUUCCCAUCAUAUGAGCGCGCGCGUGGAUCACACCAUAGGGUUAGUAGUAAGUUGAUAGGACUAUGUAUUGGAGGGCAAGGGUGACAGAAGCUUCAGCCUAGCAUAGAAAUUGAUGCAUACGUGAUUGAAGGGGGACCAAUAUAUCUUAUUGCUAUAAUUGGGUUUUACCUUAAUGAACAUUAGUAGUUGUGGAUGCUUGCUAAUAGUUCCAAUCAUAAGUGCAUAGAAUUCCAAGUAAGGGAUGACAUGCUAGCAGUGGCCUCUCCCACAUAAAACUUGCUAUCGGUCUAGUAACGUAGUCAAUUGCUAAGGGACAAUUCCGCAACUCCUACCACCACUUUUCCACACUCGUUAAACUAAUGUAAUUGUUUCUUUAUCUAAAAAGCCCCUAGUUUUUAUUUACGUGUUCUUUAGUAUCUUGGAAACCUAUCCUAUCACACCUACAAAGUACUUAUAGUUUCAUACUUGUUCUAGGUAAAGCGAACGUAAAGUGUGUGUAGAGUUGUAUCGGUGGUCGAUAGAACUCGAGGGAAUAUUUGUCCUACCUUUAGCUCCUUGUUGGGUUCGACACUCUUACUUAUCGAGAAAGGCUACAAUUUAUCCCCUAUACUUGUGGGUUAUCAAGACCUUUUUCUGGCGCCGUUGCCGGGGAGCAAUAGCAUGGGGUGAAUAUUCUCGUGUGUGCUUGUUUGCUUUAUCACUAAGUAGAUUUAUUUGUUGUUCUAAGUUGUUCUCUAUCUUUGGUUAUGGAUAUGGAACACGAAAUACCAAAAAAAAUUAGGUGUACUUGCUACUCAUGGAGAUGGGGAACCUUCUAAAACCCUCCAUGCUCGUUAUGUGGAAAAUAUUAUGCACUUCUUUAAUAAUCCUGAGAAAACCCCAUUCAGUUAUAUAAUGGGAGACACGUUGGAUCAACGUGAAUACUUUAGGGAUUAUCGCUUGACUCAAAAAGGGAAACUAUUAUGGGAUCAAAUUCAUAUGUUGAAAUGGUAUGCUUGGGAACUAUGCUUGAGAUAUGAUAUUACUUGCUGCUCUAGGAUGAAGGCUCAACACCUUCCCUUUUCUUGUAAAUUUAAUGCUAAUGAAACCUUGGUUUCUUAUGCUAAUGGUAUAUAUGAUUACUAUGAUGUGGAACAAAUAGAAGAGUUUGUUACUUUUAUGGGUGCUUAUGAAAUUGAAGCUCUGUUUAAAAGGUGUGAUGAUAAUGAUGAUGCUGCUUACCGAUCAAAAAAUGUGGUUAUGCUUCAUUAUUGUUAUACUAAUUAUGAAUAUAAUGCCCAUAUUUAUCGAUUUAUGGAGAAGUUCUAUGCUGCCCAAGAAGAGACAAAUAUUUUGGAGGAAACUAUGGAAGAAGAAAAUGCUGAAACUGUGAGCUCAUUAGAUGAAAAAGAUGACGAGGAGAGUGAUGAACAAAAGGAGGAAGAGCGGACUAGCUACCCGUGCCCACCUUCUAAUGAUAGUAACUCUUCAACUCAUACAUUGUUUAAUUUCCUUUCGUUCUUACCGAAGGCUGAAUGCUAUGUUGAUUGCUAUGAUCCCUUGGAUUCGUUUGAAAUAUCGCUUUUUGAUGAACUUGAUGCUUGCUAUGCUUGUGGCCAUGAUGCCAAUAUGAAUGAUGCUUAUGAAUAUGAACUUGCUAUGGUUACUUAUGUUAAACAUGAAAUUUUUUCUAUCACACCCACUUAUGAUAGUCCUAUUAUCUUUUUGAACUCUCCCAACUACACUAUAUCGGAGAAGUUUGCUCUUAUUAGGGAUUACAUAGAUGGGUUGCCUUCUACUAUUACACAUGAUGAUUUUGAUAAAUAUAAUAUGCAUGUGCUUGCUUCUCCUACUUGCAAUUGUUAUAAGAGAGGAACUACAUCUCCACCUCUCUAUGUUUCCAAUACGAUAAAAUUGCAAGAAACUGCUUAUGCUAUGUAUUGGCCUUUACUUGAUGUGCAUGAAUUGUUACUUUAUGACAUGCCAAUGCAUAGGAAGAGAGUUAGACUUCUUCAUUGCAUGAUAUAUGUUACCUUGUGCUCACUACUAAAUUACAAAUCAUUGUUAAUUAAAAUUGGCUUUGAUAUACCUUGGGAUCCGGGUGGAUCCAUUACUUGAGCACUUUAUGUCUAGCUUAAUGGCUUUAAAGAAAGCGCUGCCUGGGAGACAACUCGGAAGUUUUAGAGAGUCAUUUAUUUCUGUUGAGUGCUUUUAUAUAGUUUAAAAACAAAAAUAUAUAUAGAGGGGAACUUAAAACUUUUUCAAAAAGAGAAGCGAUUGAAAGGUGAUGCAUUGCGGAAGUGAGGGUCGACCUUGAACACUUGUGUUCAUGCUCAUGGAAACAAUGUAGAAUUUUUCAUGGAAGUUUAUCGCAAAAAAUAAUUAUCCCCUUGUACAAUUCCAUUGUAUUAUAAAAAUAAUGUGCCAAGUAAAGCCUUUAUGAUUAGUUUGGGUGAUAGUUGUUUGAUCAUGCUGAAAAAGACAGAAACUUUGCACUCACGAAAUCAUUUCUUAUAUCUAUACAGAGAGGGAUAUUGAGUUGAUUCUUUUGUCUGCUGAUUGAUAUACAAAUUGCCUUAAUGAUAAUAAUUUUUUCAGAAUUUUUGGAGUAUCAGAAGUAUGGUAUGUGUUCAGAUUACUACAGACUGUUCUGUUUUUUGACAGAUUUUGUUUUCUAUGCAUUGUUCUCUUAUUUUAAUGAAUCUAUGGGUAGUAUCGGGGGGUAUCAACCAUGGUGAAGUUGGAUUACAGUAGAUAUAAUGCUAAUAUGAAUUUGGAAUGAGUUCACAACAGUACUUAAAGUGGUGAUUUACUUUAUUAUACUAACGGAUCUCACGAAGGUUUUGUUGAGUUUUGUGUGAUUGAAGUUUUCAAGUUUUGGGUGAGACCACGAUGGAUGAAGUAAUAAGGAGAGGCAAGAGCCUAAGCUUGGGGAUGCCCGAGGCACCCCAAGGUAAUAUUCAAGGAAGACUCAAGCGUCUAAGCUUGGGGAUGCCCCGGAAGGCAUCCCCUCUUUCGUCUACAUUCUAACGGUAAUUUUACUCGGAGCUAUAUUUUUAUUCGUCACAUGAUAUGUGCAAAUGCUUGGAGCGUCUUUUGUGUUUAUUUUUCCUUUUUCUUUUAUGCACCAUGCUGGUAUGAGAUAGUCCUUGGUUGAUUUCUAGAAUGCUCUUUGACUUCACUUAUAUCUUUUGAGUAUGGCUUUAUAGAAUGCUUCAUGUGCUUCACUUAUAUCAUUUGAAGUUUGGAUUGCCUGUUUCCCUACACAUAGAAAACCGCCAUUUGUAGAAUGCUCUUUUGCUUCACUUAUAUUUGUUAGAGCGGGGCAUAUCUUUUGUAAAAAGAAUUAAACUCUCAUGCUUCACUUAUACCUAUUUAGAGAGUUAACAGGAGUUGGUCAUUCAGAUGGUUAGUCAUAAAAUCCUACAUAAAACUUGUAGAUCACUGAAUAUGAUAUGUUUGAUUCCUUGCAAUAGUUUUGCGACAUGAAGAUGUGAUAUUAGAUUCAUGCUAGUGAGUAAUUGUGUAUUCGUAGAAAUACUUGUGUUAAGGUUUGUGAUUCCCGUAGCAUGCACGUAUGGUGAACCGUUAUGUGACGAGGUCUGAGCAUGAUUAAUUUAUUGAUUGUCAUCCUUUGUGUGGAGGUCGGGAUCGCGUGAUGGUUAACUGCUACCAACCCUUCCCCUAGGAGCAUGCGUGUAGUACCUUGUUUGGAUGACUAAUAGACUUUUGCAAUAAGUAUGUGAGUUCUUUAUGACUAAUGUUGAGUCCAUGCAUUAUACGCACUCUCACCCUUUCACCAUUGCUAGCCUCUCUAGUACCGCGCAACUUUCGCCAGUGCAUUACACCCACCAUAUACCCUUCCUCAAAACAACCACCAUACCUCAUGUUAUGGCAUUUCCAUAGCCAUUCCGAGAUAUAUUGCCAUGCAACUUCCAUCGUUCCAUUUAUUAUGACACGCACCAUCAUUGUCAUAUUGCUUUGCAUAUUUGUAAGAUAGCUAGCAUGAUGUUUUCAUGGCUUGUCCAUUUUUUGAUGUCAUUGCUACGCUAGAUCAUUGCACAUCCCGGUACACCGUCGGAGGCAUUCAUAUAGAGUCAUAUUUUAUUCUAAAUAUCGAGUUGUAAGUAAAUAAAAGUGUGAUGAUCAUCAUUAUUAGAGAAUUGUCCCAUGUGAGGAAGUAAUAAAAGAGGCCAAUGAAGCCCAAAUUAAAAAAAAUUAGGCCAAAGAAUCCCACCAAAAAAAGGGAGAAAAAAUAGAGAGAAAAGAGAGAAGGGACAAUGCUACUAUCCUUUACCACACUUGUGCUUCAAAGUAGCACCAUGAUCUUCAUGAUAGAGAGUCUCCUAUGUUGUCACUUUCAUAUACUAGUGGGAAAUUUUCAUUAUAGAACUUGGCUUGUAUAUUCCAACGAUGGGCUUCCUCAAAUUGCCCUAGGUCUUCAUGAGCAAGCGAGUUGGAUGCACACCCACUAGUUUAUUUUUUGAACUUUCAUACACUUAUAGCUCUUGUGCAUCUGUUGCAUGGCAAUCCCUACUCACUCACAUUGAUAUCUAUUGAUGGGCAUCUCCAUAGCCCGUUGAUACGCCUAGUUGAUGUGAGACUAUCUCCUCCUUUUUGUCUUUUCCACAACCACCAUAUUCUAUUCCACCUAUAGUGCUAUGUCCAUGGCUCACGCUCAUGUAUUGCGUGAAAGUUGAAAAAGUUUUAGAACACUAAAGUAUGAAACAAUUGCUUGGCUAAAACCGGGGUUGUGCAUGAUUUAAAUACGUGUGGGGAAGAUGGAGCAUAGCCACACUAUAUGAUUUUGUAGGGAUAACUUUCUUUGGCCAUGAUAUUUUGAGAAGACAUGAUUGCUUUGUUAGUAUGCUUGAAAUAUUAUUGUCUUUAUGUCAAAUGAUAGACUAUUGCUUCGAAUCACUCGUGUUUUAGUAUUCAUGCCAUGAUUAGAUUAUAUGAUCAAGAUUAUGCUAGGUAGCAUUCCACAUCAAAAAUUAUCUUUUUUAUCAUUUACCUACUCGAGGACGAGCAGAAAUUAAGCUUGGAGAUGCUGAUACGUCUCCGUCGUAUCUAUAAUUUUUGAUUGUUUCAUGCCAAUAUUCUACAAUUGUCAUAUACUUUCGGCAACUUUUUUAUACUAUUUUUUGGGACUAACAUAUUGAUCCAGUGCCCAGUGCUAGUUCCUAUUUGUUGCAUGUUUUUUGUUUCGCAGAAUAUCCAUACCAAACGAAGUCCAAACGCAAUAAAAAACCUACGGGGAUUUGUUUUGGAAUAUUUAUGAUUUUUGGGAAGAAGAAUCAACGCGAAACGAUGCCCGAGGGGGUCACGAGCCCAGGAGGCGCGCCCUAUCCCCCAGGCACGCCUGGCAGGCUCGUGACCAACCCCUAUGGCGGUUGGGGCCCUUUUUUCCCUCAAGAAAGCUAAUAUCCGGAAGAAAAUCGUGUUAAAAGGACACCUCAAUCGGAGUAACGGAUCUCCGGGAAUUUAAGAAACGGUGAAAGGCCAGAAUCUGGGAGCACAGAAACAGAAGGAAAUAGAGAGAGAGAGAGAUCCAAUCUCGGAGGGGCUCUCGCCCCUCCGCCGCCAUGGAGACCAUGGACCAGAGGGGAAACCCUUCUCCCAUCUAGGGAGGAGGUCAAGGAAGAAGAAUAAGGGGGCUCUCUCCCCCCUCUCUCCCGGCGGCGCCGGAACGCCGCCCGUGACAUCAUCGUGUGACGGCGGUCUACACCAACACCUCCGUCAUCUUCACCAACACCUCCGUCAUCUUCACCAACACCUCCAUCACCUUCCCCCAUCUAUAUUCAGCGGUCCACUCUCCCGCAACCUGUUGUACCCUCUACUUGAAUAUGGUGCUUUAUGCUUCAUAUUAUUAUCCAAUGAUGUGUUGCCAUCCUAUGAUGUUUGAGUAGAUUUUCGUUGUCCUAUUGGUGAUUGAUGAAUUGCUAUGAUUGGUUUAAUUUGCUUGUGGUUAUGUUGUUGUCCUUUGGUGCCCAUCAUAUGAGCGCGCGCGUGGAUCACACAAUAGGGUUAGUAGUAUGUUGAUAGGACUAUGUAUUGGAGGGCAAGGGUGACAGAAGCUUCAGCCUAACAUAGAAAUUGAUGCAUACGGGAUUGAAGGGGGACCAAUAUAUCUUAUUGCUAUGGUUGGAUUUUACCUUAAUGAACGUUAGUAGUUGCAGAUGCUUGCUAAUAGUUCCAAUCAUAAGUUCAUAGAAUUCCAAGUAAGGGAUGACAUGCUAGCAGUGGCCUCUCCCACAUAAAACUUGCUAUCGGUCUAGUAACGUAGUCAAUUGCUUAGGGACAAUUCCGCAACUCCUACCACCACUUUUCCACACUCGUUAAACUAAUGUAAUUGUUUCUUUAUCUAAACAGCCCCUAGGUUUUAUUUACGUGUUCUUUAUUAUCUUGCAAACCUAUCCUAUCACACCUACAAAGUACUUCUAGUUUCAUACUUGUUUUAGGUAAAGCGAACGUAGAGUGUGCGUAGAGUUGUAUCGGUGGUCGAUAGAACUUGAGGGAAUAUUUGUCCUACCUUUAGCUCCUCGUUGGGUUCGACACUCUUACUUAUCGAGAAAGGCUACAAUUGAUCCCCUAUACUUGUGGGUUAUCAGUGACCGAACGGAGGAGGGAGCUAUUGAAAAGUCCGGAUCGAGCCAAACUUCGGUAAUGAGACGAGGCCCGAAGAGAAGGUUGGGCAAGGAUCAAAAGUUCAUGAUCACAUGACUCGCGAACGAUGGCCUACCGAUUGAACCCAAGUGGACCAAGGAUGCAUUUUCUGCUCAGUGCGGAGCUAUUAUCAGGGACAACAUCCCGAUCAGCAUCAAGCAAUGGAAUAAGCCUAAGGGAGACGACGUACCUGAAGGUGAUUAUGUCACCGAUAGGCAGAAAGAUGAUCUUUGGACUGCGCUGAAGGAAAAUUUCACCCUACCGCCAGAGGAGGAUCCGAAUAAGCCAGUUAUAGAGCCACUGGUCAAGGUGUGUGCUCUUAAGAAGAUGGCAGAUCUAUUCAGGAGGUGGAAGAAUGAGUUGAAAUCAAAGUUUUUCGACAAAGGGAAGACUCCAGAAUUCGUCAGCUGAUUUGAGAAGAUGAGAGAUCACUGGCCCGCAUUUGUGUCCUACAAGAAAUCAGACAAGAGUAAGAAAAUGUCACAGACAAACAAGAACAAUGCUACAAAGAAGCAGUAUCACCAUCACACGGGGUCAGGUGGAUACCUCGAAGCCGUCCGUUGUGGGACAAAGCUGAGAAUGACCUGAUUGCUAAAGGGGUCCAACCAUAGACAUGAAACUGGCCCGACCGUUCAAGGAAUUGGUUCUUCAAGGUCGGGGGAACUUUGGACCCUGAAACAGGGAAGUGUCGUUGGACGGACGAGCAACUUGCAACACCCAUCAACAAGCUUCAGAAGUGUAUCACCGCAGCGCGGGAAGGGGCGUUCUUUCCUGACGAAGAGAAGGACGAGCUGACUGAGGCCCUAGGGAAUGUUGAGCACCCUGGACAAACACGAGGCACACCAGGCUCCGUUCCAUGGAAGGUUGGGUUUCCCGACGCAGCCGGUUAUAGAAGCCGAGAGAGAAAGAGGAAAGUGGAGCUCAGCGACAUGCAAAAGAUCAAUGCAAGACUACAAAUUCUAGAGGAACUUGAGAGCCAGCGAGCGGCCGACCAACCAUCUCAGCGUCACGAAACUACCCAGAAGUUACCCCGCCAUCUCAGCGAAGAAGCAGCAUGGCUUCCACGGAGCUCGUUCAGCCUGACUUCACGGCUCCAAGCUACCCCGUGGAUACUAUCACGGAGUCUCAACCUUGCGAUCUUUUGACGAAAUGUCGGAACCUCACUUUCAAGGCUGCUAUCGGCUUCGUUGCACCUUCUGAACCAACGGAACUUUUCACUGCCUUCCGAUUCCACGUGGCUUUGCUAUUCAGAUGGUGGAUGAAGUAAAGGAGGGAUUUGAGCAGCUCGAGCUUGACCACCCUACAGGUGAAGGGGAGAAUAAGUUGGUUCAUGAUGUGAGGAGUACAUGUCUAUGGCCGAAGGAGUACAUCAACCUUCCAAACUGGACGCCUCCUCGUCCUCCUCCUCCGGUGAUUGAUCAGGGCACUCCUCAUCCUCCUCCGGCGAGUGAUCAGGGCACUACAGCUCCUCCGACGCGUGAGGGCACUCCACCUCCUUCUUCGGCUCCUCCUCUAGCGCGUGAGGGCACUCCGUCUCCUUCUUCAACUCCUUCUUCGACGCGUCGAAGUAGUCUGCCUCCUUCUUCGGCUCCUCCUCCAGUGCGUCGGAGCACUCCGCCUCCUUCUUUGACUCCUCCUCCAGCGCAUCGGAGCAGUCCUCCUCCUUCGGCUCCUCCUCAGGCACGUCAUAGCAGUCCUCCUCCUUCGGCUCCUCCUCAGGUGCGUCGGAGCAGUCCUCCUCCUUCGGCUCCUCCUCAGGCGCGCCGGAGCAGUCCGCCUCCUCCACAACGGUGGAAGACAAACGUCGUCGCCGCUCCGCAGAAAAUUACACAAGUAAGAAAGAUGUCGCCUCCUCCUCCUUCUCUCAAGCGGAAGACAAACUCCGCCGCCGCUCUGGAGGCUACCAGUGAUGCAAUGUUAGCAAAACGAAGAAGUGGGAAAACAAUUCCCCAGCUCGGCCAACAGAAGAAGCAAUCGUGCCCCCCGCUCAAGGUGUCUAGCGAUAUCAUCGUCGCUAAUGAUCCGGGGUUGCUGUUGUUGGAAAUAUGCCCUAGAGGCAAUAAUAAAUUAGUUAUUAUUAUAUUUCUUUGUUCAUGAUAAUCGUUUAUUAUCCAUGCUAUAAUUGUAUUGAUUGGAAACACAAUACUUGUGUGGAUACAUAGACAAAACACUGUCCCUAGUAAGCCUCUAGUUGACUAGCUCGUUGAUCAAAGAUGGUCAAGGUUUCCUGACCAUGGGCAAGUGUUGUCACUUGAUAACGGGAUCACAUCAUUAGGAGAAUCAUGUGAUGGACUAAGACCCAAACUAAUAGACGUAGCAUGUUGAUCGUGUCAUUUUGUUGCUACUGUUUUCUGCGUGUCACGUAUUUGUUCCUAUGACCAUGAGAUCAUAUAACUCACUCACACCGGAGGAAUGCUUUGUGUGUAUCAAACGUCGCAACGUAACUGGGUGACUAUAAAGAUGCUCUACAGGUAUCUCCGAAGGUGUUAGUUGAGUUAGUAUGGAUCGAGACUGGGAUUUGUCACUCCGUGUGACGGAGAGGAAUCUCGGGGCCCACUCGGUAAUACAACAUCACACACAAGCCUUGCAAGCAAUGUGACUUAGUGUAAGUUGCGGUAUCUUGUAUUAUGGAACGAGUAAAGAGACUUGCGGGUAAACGAGAUUGAAAUAGGUAUGCGGAUACUGACGAUCGAAUCUCGGGCAAGUAACAUACCGAAGGACAAAGGGAAUGACAUACGGGAUUAUAUGAAUCCUUGGCACUGAGGUUCAAACGAUAAGAUCUUCGUAGAAUAUGUAGGAUCCAAUAUGGGCAUCCAGGUCCCACUAUUGGAUAUUGACCGAGGAGUCGCUCGGGUCAUGUCUACAUAGUUCUCGAACCCGCAGGGUCUGCACACUUAAGGUUCGACGUUGUUAUAUGCGUAUUUGAGUUAUAUGGUUGGUUGCCGAAUGUUGUUCGGAGUCCCGGAUGAGAUCACAAACGUCAUGAGGGUUUCCGGAAUGGUCCGGAAACGAAGAUUGAUAUAUAGGAUGACCUCAUUUGAUUACCGGAAGGUUUUCGGAGUUACCGGGAAUGUACCGGGAAUGACGAAUGGGUUCCGGAUGUUCACCGGGGGGGGCAACCCACCUCGGGGAAGCCCAUAGGCCUUGGGGGUGGCGCACCAGCCCUUAGUGGGCUGGUGGGACAGCCCAAGAAGGCCCUAUGCGCCAUANNNNNNNNNNNNNNNNNNNNNNNNNNNNNNNNNNNNNNNNNNNNNNNNNNNNNNNNNNNNNNNNNNNNNNNNNNNNNNNNNNNNNNNNNNNNNNNNNNNNCAGGAUGGCCCAGGCGAGCAUGCCAAAGGUCGACACCAGCGGCGAGGGAGACGGGGCGGGUGGAGGCAGCGGCGGAGGGAUGCACCGGGUAGAGAUCCUGAGAGCUAUCACAUCGGUGCAGUACCAUCCGGGUAGGGGCAUCCUUCACAGUAAAAUCGACAACGUCAAAUUCAACAGUAAGAGGAUUCUCACGAGCAAGGCAACGAACAGAACAAAGUUUCGUGACUAAUUCGGGAGAAACAAGAACAUUAGACAUGUUGAUAGGUGUAGAUGAAGAGGGAAACGAUGUAUGCCCUAUAUGUGUGAUGGGUAAAGAUGAACCAUUACCAACGGUGAUACAAGUAGGAGUAUGAACUGGAGUAGAGGAGAUAAGGUUACCGGUAUGAGAGGUCAUGUGAGCAGUGGCACCCGAGUCCAUGUACCAGUCGCCGCCGCCCCCAUAGUUGCUCGGGGAGGGGGGCGCGAGUGCAGCGCUGCCAAAAGAGCAGGAUCUCACGGCGAAGGCGCCUGCUGUGGGGAGGCCCCGCCGUAGGGGGCCCUCCGUAGGAAGGCAUCAGAGCAGCAGGGUAGCCGCCAACCAUCAGCGGGGCGGGUAGAGCAGGACCACGCACGGCGAGGUAAGCUUGUUGAAGAGGCGGAGGGGGCCGAGGCACUAGCAUCUAAUAGGCAUGGAUGACUCCAGUCCACGGAUUUGUGUCGUAGGUCCAGGGCGGGGUAGGGUACUGCUGACGAGGCGCCCUCCGUACGCCGGUUGUUGCGGCUGUUGUUGCUUGUUCUGGCGUCCACCGCGGCAGUUGUUGCAUCGGCCGCCGCCACCGCCGAGCUGCUGUUGCGGCUGCCGCUGCACGGGCGGCGUGGGCGGCAAGGAGAAGAACCCCGGGGGCGCAGGAGGUGCCGGGGCCCGAGGCGCGUGAGGUGGCCCGUGAGAGGUGCCUGCGGCGAGGGCGGUGUGCUGGACCCGCCGCUUGACCUGCUUCAUCUGUCGUUCCUCCAAGCAAAGAUAGGCGACAAACUUGGGGAACGAGGGCUCCGUCAUCAAGGUGAGGUUGGAGGCGGCGUUGCCGAAGUCCUCGUCGAGGCCGGUCGUAAGCGUGCUGAGGAGAAGGUCAUCAUCGAUCUUGGCGCCAAUGUCGUGGAGUUCAUUGGACAACAUCUUGAGACGGAGGUAGUAAUCAUCAACGGGCUGAUCAUCUUGAUGACAGCUGAAGAAUUCUUGCUGCAGGAGGACGCGACGUUGAAGCUUGUUGUCGGUGAAGAGGCCAUUGAGUUUGACCCAUACGGCAUGCGCGUCAUCGCCCUCGCUGACGACGGUGUGAAAGUGAUCCUUGGAGAUGAUGAGGAAGAACCACCGAAUGAGCGUAGCAUCGAUGGAUGUCCACUCGAAAUCGUCCUUCAUGUCGCCAGAGUCGCCGGAGCCGUCGAUGUGAUCCGCGAUAUUGUACUCGCGAACGACGAGGGAGAAGUAGGUCUUCCACGCGAAAUACAUGGAGUCUUGGGGAUCGAGGAUGACGGGGACCCGACCAUGGAUGAAGGGGUUGGUGUUGCCGGAGAGGGAGGAGUUAACCGACAUGACGUCGGCGACGCGACAGGAGGGAAGGCGCGGUGCGGCGGCGGUGGUUGCGGGUGCGGCUACGUGCAUAUCGUAGCGGCAGGUGUUAGGGUUUAGUGGCGACGGCGGCGGCUUGUGGAGGGAGAGUAGGGUUAGGGCGCGACUGCGUGGAGAUGGAUGGCAGCAGCAGGGUAGGGGAGGCGACAGUGGCGACGCGAGGCGUCGGCUGGGUAGCAGCAGCGGCGGCGGUGGCGGCUAGGGCAACAGAAGAGGUAGGAUCCGCGUGCUAUCUGAUACCAUGUAAGUUAGGGAUUGCAUGCAUCGAUGAUUCUCAUUGAUGGUGCACCAAGCACAUAUAUAGGUACAAGGGGUGCAACUCAUGUCUCGUCUUUCAAGUUACAUACAGAUUACAAUGAGAGGGAGACGUGACAGGUGCAAUAUACAAACCAAGAUCUAUAGACGUGUACGCAGACUAUACAUGUUCAACAUAAACAUAGGCUAAAACGGAUCAAUUCAAUCAAAAUAGUGAGAAAACAAUAUCAAAACCAGGAUGAGACCAAAAAUCGACUGCUUAAAUGUCAAGAGUAAUAACAAAUGUGACUUCUUAACUACACAUAAGAAUGUUGCUUGUCAAGCAUGAAAGAUGUACACAACCGAACACCUGUCCUGGGAGCAAUAUGUAUAUACAGAAACGGCAGACUUUACACACAAGGCACACAGGGGAUAGGCUUGGACGGAUGAAAGAAACAAGGAAGCAAGCAACCACUGAUAAACACUUCAUUCACUCUUGCUCCAUUUGCGAAGAAGGAGCGUUUUUACUUUAGGCCCCAAAGCAUCCCAUGACUUUCUUGGGAGAGUUGCCGGUGGCGCGGUACUUGGCGGCCAUCUCCUCGGCCUUGAGGAGUUCCUCCCCUUUCUUUGCCUCGACCAUCGCUCUCUUCUCUUCGGCUUCCUUGUGGAUCAUUGCGGCCUUAUUCUUCAUCUUCUCGGCGUAUUCAGCCUUCUUCUUUUCCAAUUGCUCCUGAAAGUGUACAGUCACAAGAUUUAGUUUGCAGGAUGGCAUAUGAAGAGAGUGCCAUGUUCAGAACUGCAGAUGGAUAUCGACGGCAAGA